UGACGCCGUCCUCCCCCUCCGCUCCCGCCCCCAGUGGCCAGGAGGGGUCUGCGGAGCAGGGAUGCGCUGAACCUGGAGCCCCGGGUGGAAGGGGUAGCAAAGCCCCGCGGCCGGGGUCUCGGCUCCAGCGUCCCGCCCCGGACCAUCGGGAUGACUUGGGGAGUCUCCAAGGGCCCUUUUAACGGCCCCCAAAGGGAGGCGACAGGAAGGCAACCCAGGUUCGAGCCCCAGUCCAGGAAGAUCCCACGUGCAGCAGAACAGCUAAGCCCGUGCGCCACAACUACUGAGCCUGCACUCUAGAGCCCAAGAGCCACAGCUACUGAGCCCUCGUGCCACAACUACCAAAGCCCUCACGCCUAGAGCCUGUGCUCCGCAGCAAGAGAAGCCACCGCAAUGAGAAGCUCGUGCACCGCAACGAAGAGUAGCCCCCGCCUGCCUCAACUAGAGAAAGCCUGCGCGCAGCAACAGAGACCCAAUGCAGCCAAAAAUAAAAUAAAUAAAUUUAAAAUAAGUAAAUAAAUAAAUAAAUGUUCUCUGAGAGCUGAACUGGCAGUAUCAGUGGGUGCAUAUAGUGAGGGAGGAAUUGACCAAGUUGAGAAAUCCAGGCUCUUUCUGAAAAACCACUUCAAUUUUGUUAACUGGUUGGCAUCCUGGCAGAGAUCUUGGCGCUGCUUUCCCCCUGUACUACAGUGUAUGCCAGCUUCCUGUGGAAGCCCUACUCAUUUAGGUGACCCCAACCCUGGGUCAGUGGGUGCCCCUAUAUUCCUUACCCAGCAGGUGCUUUAGUUAGAAAAGUUCUAAGAAUCAGCUCCAGUCAUGUCUGUGUUCCACCAUCCACCCAUUCCUGUCCCUGGAGGAAGGAGAGAGUGUGGAAGCAGAGCAGGGGCUGCAAGGAAAGAAGAACUGUCUGCCAUUGAAUUAAACACUUUAAAUGGGCUAAUUGUGAAUUCUAUCUCAAUAAAAUUGUUUCCAAAAAAACAAACUGUCCAGAAGGAACUGGAUGUGGAUCUAGCAGUUCUGUGUGUCUUGGCUCACAAACUAUAGGAAACAAGGAAAGAAAUUUAAAAGGCUGUUGCCCUGGUGGUAGAAGGACAUCUCAGAGACGCAAGUGCUUGAUUGGGUGCUCAAGGUUAACGAAGUGAAGCUUUCCAGCAAAGCAGGUCUUGAGCCCAGAUGGGAAGGAAGUGGGAGAGCCAAGUAAGAGAGAGAGGAAUUCCCAGACUCUGCCCCUUAUCACAUCACAGGGCAUAUUCAAACAGCCUGAGAGAGGGUUCUACUCACAAGAAAAAUCAAAGACAUUUUCAGAAUGAAUGGAAAGUUCCCUGUUGUGUUCUAUCCAUUCUGCAAAGAGGAGAGCUGCCUUUACCAACAUUAAUGAACCAAAAUUAACUGGUUUAGGAGUCAGCUUUGAAAAACACCUGCUGUUUUUAUCCUUAUGUCCCUGUAACCAUCUAUUUCCCUGCCCCACAAUCCAGCCCUCCUCCCCCUCUAUGCUCAGCACUAUUAUUUCUGCCUCAGAGGAAGGAUUGGGGCUGGGGUUGACUGAAGCGAAGCGUAUGAUAUUCCUGGAAAUGAUCUUCUCAUUGUAGAUGCAACCAAAAUAGCAUUGGUACCACAAUUAAUAAUCGAUCUACUCUUCAACAGCAACUGCAUUUUUCUCCAAGGUACACGAUUUAAAAUACAGACUUUUUCUCCAGUUCUUAACUGGAGAUAAAAUAAUUCAAUUCUGGUGUGUGUGAUCCCAUUACCCUACUAUGGCAAGACCCCCAGGCAUUUGCCUCAGUUUUCCCUGAGAUACAUGUUCUCACAGGGUAGCAAAAAAAAAAAAAAAAUAUAUAUAUAUAUAUAUAUGAGCUCUUAGUGGAAAGCUAAGAGGUAUAGCAAUCUGGAAGACUUGCAGAUUUAAAAGAAGGUUUGGAGCCAAAGCAAUUAGAUUGGUAUAAGCCUGUCUCAGGCCUGGGUCAGAGAACAGAGCCUAUGGCUCAGCAAAAAAUGCUGAAGUAAGUAUUGGCUUUAACUCCAUGUGCCCGUGUGGAUGUGCAACCUCAGAUCCUGUCCCCAUAGGACCUUCCUCUGCUUGCAAGGAACCUUGCCCUCUGCUUAAGAUUUGCUAGUACCUUAGGUCUUCCAGGUAGGAUUUUUCCUUUUCAGAGGAAAGUAAUCACAAAUAAAAAUCUCUGUAUCAAGACACUGAGAAGCUUUUUAUAUCCUUUCACUAGCUUCUGUUGUGAUGGAUGAAAUUACAAGAACAAUGGCAGCAGAGCAAAUGUCCACGUAAAUCUAUAAAGAAAGAAGAAAAUAGGUUUACCAGGUUUCCUUUGAUGAUAAGGCAUUCUUUUUUUUUUUUUUUUUUUUUUUGGUGGUACACGGGCCUCUUACUGUUGUGCCCUCUCCUGUUGCGGAGCACAGGCUCUGUGGCCAUGGCUCACAGGCCCAGCGCUCCACAGCAUGUGGGAUCUUCCCGGACCGGGGCACGAACCCAUGUACCCUGCAUCGGUAGG